rnacentral:rRNA from 1 species
UUAGAGUUUGAUCCUGGCUCAGGAUGAACGCUAGCUACAGGCUUAACACAUGCAAGUCGAGGGGAAACGAUAUUGGAAGCUUGCUUCCGAUAGGCGUCGACCGGCGCACGGGUGAGUAACGCGUAUCCAACCUGCCCAUCACUUGGGGAUAACCUUGCGAAAGUAAGACUAAUACCCAAUGACGUCUCUAGAAGACAUCUGAAGGAGAUUAAAGAUUUAUCGGUGAUGGAUGGGGAUGCGUCUGAUUAGCUUGUUGGCGGGGUAACGGCCCACCAAGGCGACGAUCAGUAGGGGUUCUGAGAGGAAGGUCCCCCACAUUGGAACUGAGACACGGUCCAAACUCCUACGGGAGGCAGCAGUGAGGAAUAUUGGUCAAUGGGCGAGAGCCUGAACCAGCCAAGUAGCGUGCAGGAUGACGGCCCUAUGGGUUGUAAACUGCUUUUAUAAGGGAAUAAAGUGAGAGUCGUGACUCUUUUUGCAUGUACCUUAUGAAUAAGGACCGGCUAAUUCCGUGCCAGCAGCCGCGGUAAUACGGAAGGUCCGGGCGUUAUCCGGAUUUAUUGGGUUUAAAGGGAGCGUAGGCCGGAGAUUAAGCGUGUUGUGAAAUGUAGACGCUCAACGUCUGCACUGCAGCGCGAACUGGUUUCCUUGAGUACGCACAAAGUGGGCGGAAUUCGUGGUGUAGCGGUGAAAUGCUUAGAUAUCACGAAGAACUCCGAUUGCGAAGGCAGCUCACUGGAGCGCAACUGACGCUGAAGCUCGAAAGUGCGGGUAUCGAACAGGAUUAGAUACCCUGGUAGUCCGCACGGUAAACGAUGGAUGCCCGCUGUUGGUCUGAAUAGGUCAGCGGCCAAGCGAAAGCAUUAAGCAUCCCACCUGGGGAGUACGCCGGCAACGGUGAAACUCAAAGGAAUUGACGG